UGGGGAAUAUUGCACAAUGGAGGGAACUCUGAUGCAGCGACGCCGCGUGAACGAAGAAGGCUUUCGAGUCGUAAAGUUCUUUUAUAUGGGAAGAUAAUGACGGUACCAUAAGAAAAAGCCCCGGCUAACUACUUGCCAGCAGCCGCGGUAAUACGUAGGGGGCUAGCGUUGUCCGGAAUCACUGGGCGUAAAGGGUUCGCAGGCGGAAAUGCAAGUCAGGUGUAAAAGGCAGUAGCUUAACUACUGUAAGCAUUUGAAACUGCAUAUCUUGAGAAGAGUAGAGGUAAGUGGAAUUUUUAGUGUAGCGGUGAAAUGCGUAGAUAUUAAAAAGAAUACCGGUGGCGAAGGCGACUUACUGGGCUCAUUCUGACGCUGAGGAACGAAAGCGUGGGUAGCAAACAGG
rnacentral:rRNA from 1 species